AUCUGACGAGUCCUAAAUAGGACGAAAUGCGCAUCUUGGAU
rnacentral:hammerhead_ribozyme from 1 species